AUGGGACACAGAGUCUCUCCCUCCCACUGCAGGGUGACACAGACAGAAGGAGCUAUGGGAUACGGAGUCUGUCACUCCCACUGCUGGGUGACACAGACAGAAGGAGCUAUGGGACACGGAGUCUGUCCCUCCCACUGCAGGGUGACAGACAGAAGGGAGCUAUGGGACACAGAGUCUCUCCCUCCCGCUGCUGGGUGAACCAGACAGAAGGAGCUAUGGGACACAGAGUCUGUCCCUCCCGCUGCAGGGUGACACAGACAGAAGGAGCUAUGGGACACGGAGUCUGUCCCUCCCACUGCAGGGUGACACAGACAGAAGGAGCUAUGGGACACAGAGUCUGUCCCUCCCACUGCAGGGUGACACAGACAGAAGGAGCUAUGGGACACGGAGUCUGUCCCUCCCACUGCAGGGUGACACAGACAGAAGGAGCUAUGGGACACGGAGUCUGUCCCUCCCACUGCAGGGUGACACAGA